UUUUUUCUUUUUUUUUUUUUGCUUUUUAGGGCCACACUCGAGACAUAUGGAGGUUCCCAGUACUCGAUAGUAAGAAAUUAAACCCCAAUCUAAAAAUGGGCAUGAAACAAGAUAUUUUACCAAAGAAGAUACAUGAAUGGUAAUAAGUACAUGAAAAUAUGCUCUAUGUUAUUAGUCAUUAGAGAAACACAAACUGAAAAUCACAAGAUACCACAUCUAUGAGAAAAGCUAAAUCACAACUGAUCAUAACAAGUGUUGACAAGUGUCAGAGUCUGAAUUGUGUACCCCAACUUCAUAGGUUGAAACGCUAGAACCUCUGGGUCUUUAAAGAGGUGAUUAAGUUAAAAUGAGGGGCCCAAAUCUAAUGACGGGGUGUCCUUAUAAGAGGAAAUUCAGAAAAAAAAACUACCAAGAAAAGACCACACACAGAGGUAACAAGAGAGCAGCCAUCUACAAGUCAAGGAGAAAGGCCUCAGCAGAAGGCAACCCUGCCAAAAUUUAAUCCUGCACUUUCACCCUCAAGAACUACAAGAAAACAAAUUGCUGCUGUUUAAACCAUGCAGUCUAUGAUAUUUGAUUAUGGCAGGCUAGCAAACUGAUACAGCAAGCAUGUGAAGAAACUGUUUUAACUCUCAUACUGCUCAUGGAAAUGCCAAAUGGUGUAACCACUCUGAAAAAUAGUAAUGAUGUCUUAAAAACCUUAAAAAUAUACCUACCAUAUGAUCCAGCCAUUCCACAACUGGGUAUUUACCACCUCCCUCAAAGAAAAAGCCCAAAGACUGUAUACAAAUGUUUAAGGCAUAUUUAUUUCUAGUAGUUCCCAACUAGAGUUUCUACAAUGAACAGAUGAACAGACAGACAAACUAGGGUUUCUUUAAUGGAAUACACACAACAGGGUGAAUCUGAAAAUAAUUAUGCUGAGUAAAGGAAAUUAAGCAGAAUGGAGCAUAUAGUGCAUAAUUUCAUUAACAUAUAAUUCUAGAAAAGGUAAACUAAUCUAUAGUGAAAGAGGAGAUCAGUGGUUACCUGGGGAUAGCAAGGGAUAACAAGAAAGGGUUAUAAAGGUGCACAAGGGCUUUGUAGUGAUAGACAGAUGUGCAUUGCAACGGUGGGAUAGAUAUUUCAAGACAUGAAAUUACAUACGUCAAAUGUGUGUUGUCUUCUGUAAGUCAAUUAUAUUUCCUUUUUUUUUUUUUUCCCCAGCUUUUUGCGAUUUUUCUUGGGCCGCUCCCUUGGCAUAUGGAGAUUCCCAGGCUAGGGGUCUAAUCGGAGCUGUAGCCACCAGCCUACACCAGAGCCACAGCAACGCGGGAUCUGAGCCGCAUCUUCUACCUAAACCACAGCUCACGGCAACGCUGGAUCGUUAACCCACUGAGCAAGGGCAGAGAUCAAACCCGCAACCUCAUAGUUCCUAGUCGGAUUCGUUAACCACUGCGCCAUGACGGGAACUCCAUCAAUUAUAUUUCAAUGAAACUGUUAAAAACUUACAUAUAUGUGUAUUAUACAUUUAACACUACAAAGGAAAAAUGGACACAAAAUCAUCCAUCAAUAAAGGUUUCUGGAGUUCCCACUGUGGCACAAUGGGAUUGAUGGUGUCUGCAGCAGCAGGGAUAUGGGUUCAAUCCCUGACCCAGCACAUUGCCACAGUUGUGGUGUAGGUCACAAUUGCAGCUCAGAUUCAAUCCAUGCCCGGGAACUCCAUAUGCCACAGAGUGGCCAAAAAAGAAAAAUAAAGUAAAAUAAAUAAAUGAAUAAGGGUUUCCAACAAAUUUCUUUCAGGCCUUGACAGAUGGAGUAAGUAAAAAAUUAAGAAUACAGGGAGUUCCCAUCGUGGUGCAGUGGAAACGAAUCUGACUAGGAACCAUGAAGUUGCAGGUUCAAUCCCUCGCCUCACUCAGGGGGUUAAGGAUCUGGCAUUGCUGUGGCUCUGGUGUAGGCCGGCAGCUGUAGCUCUGAUUAGACCCCUAGCUUGGGAACCCCCAUAUGCCGCAGAUGCGGCCCUAAAAAAAAGACAAAAGACCAAAAAACAAAACAAAACAACAACAACAACAACAACAACAAAAAAAAAAACUAAUAAGAAUGCAGGAAAACAUUAAGUUGGAAAAUACAAAUGCAUAUUCACAAUGUAACUCUACAAGAAGAGAAUUUCUCCUAUUCAAGGAUUUACAAUGCUACACAAAGAGUGAAUGAACACAUUCGACCAGUAAAGAACAUCUUAACAAAUUAUAAAAAGAAAAAAAAAUUCAAAUAUUCUAAUCAUGAUACAAUAAAACUUAAAAUUCCUGACAACAACAAAGACACCCCAAAAAAAGCCACUAACCUAUCAGAAUUUAAAAUACUCUCUAUAUAAUUGAAUGUUAGGCAAAGGGGGAAAUCAAAGACACAAAAAUAGAUUAUCUAGAAAAUGGUAAGUAAAAUUAAAACCCACCAGGAGUUCCCAUCGUGGCACCACCGAAACAAAUCCGACUAGGAACCAUGAGGUUUCGGGUUCAAUUCUUGGCCUUGCUCAAGUGGGUUAAGGAUCCAGCAUUGCUGUGAGCUGUGGCGUAGGUUGCAGACUUGGCAUUGC
rnacentral:lncRNA from 1 species